GGAAGAUGCUGGUGUACAGCCCUAGGAACAAAACAACUGCUGAGGUUGUCCUAUUGCCACAUGCCCAAACUUAUUUUUGAAAGCUUGACUUUCUGUGUCUGAAGCACAGAAAUGAGGCUCCCAUUUAUCAGAGGAGGAGCAGUGAAUGUGUUUUUCCAGCAGCACUGCUCCCAAGCGUAGUGCAGUGUGUGGAGGAAUGGCAUUGCUACAGUGCUUCUGUGCUUAUGGAACUCUGAAAGCAGCUGGGAGACCCUGACCACAGCAAGAAGGGAUUAAUACAUUGCCGUUAUUUUGAGGUUAAAUCUUAUACUGGAAAGAGAAGUUGAUGUAAGGACACUUCAGCCCAACCAAGGCCAGAAGUAUAGUGAGGUUUUAGCUCUAUCUGUCAGAUUCAGAAGUAAAAUCUUUGGAGUGAACAAAAGCCCUUCAAAGUGCCGUUUCAAUCCAGACUGCAGCUGAGCUGCAGUAACUGUACAUGCUCUCUAGAAGAGGAGUGGGGAAGGCAAUGAAGGGGAUAUGAUGAAAAUUCGUUCACCUACAGAGAAAUAAAAACAGUGAUCAAUAUACAUCUCUGUGCCCUGCUGCUGACAAGGAAAAUGCACAUGGACAAAGCCAUAACUCAGCUGAUGUGCAGGAAUGUAAGUGCAAGUCCUUUCUCCUACAAACCAAGCUGUUAUUAAGACUUGUUUUAUACCAGAAAAUGCAUGACUAGAUUAUGCUGGUCCUAUUCCUACCCCCUCUAGAUGUGAAAUGUUCAUCAACAUGGUGGAAAUAGGAUCAAGUGACUAGCUUUCAACAAGGCACUUAUCAAUUUCAUUGAAGCCAAUUAGAGAUGAAUAUUCGGAACCUUGAAGAGAGAGCUGGCUGAUUUUGAGGGAUGCUUUAGUUAUCUAGGAGGAUAUUACUAAUUAAAAUCUUAUGGAAAAUGCAUGGCAACACUGUGGACUGAUGAUAUAUUACUCUUUUAUUUGCUGCAUCUGGAAUCAGUAACAUGGUGUAAACAUGUUUUUAAUUUUAAAAUGAUACUUUAGUUAAGC
ensembl:lncRNA